rnacentral:rRNA from 1 species
GUGGGGAAUAUUGGACAAUGGGGGGAACCCUGAUCCAGCCAUGCCGCGUGUGUGAAGAAGGCCUUUUGGUUGUAAAGCACUUUAAGCGAGGAGGAGGCUACCGAGAUUAAUACUCUUGGAUAGUGGACGUUACUCGCAGAAUAAGCACCGGCUAACUCUGUGCCAGCAGCCGCGGUAAUACAGAGGGUGCAAGCGUUAAUCGGAUUUACUGGGCGUAAAGCGCGCGUAGGUGGCCAAUUAAGUCAAAUGUGAAAUCCCAGAGCUUAACUUGGGAAUUGCAUUCGAUACUGGUUGGCUAGAGUAUGGGAGAGGAUGGUAGAAUUCCAGGUGUAGCGGUGAAAUGCGUAGAGAUCUGGAGGAAUACCGAUGGCGAAGGCAGCCAUCUGGCCUAAUACUGACACUGAGGUGCGAAAGCAUGGGGAGCAAACAGGAUUAGAAACCCUUGUAGUCC